AGGAGCGAGCGAGUCUUAAAGGGAAGCUUCCUUUUUCAACGAGAAGUAGAGAGAAAGGAAGAGGACCCCAUCUCUGCUCACCCAUGGCUUGAAAACAGCGUUUCACCUUCACGGCUGCUGCUUUUUUAGUGACCGGGCGAUAAGCUCGCACUUCUAUUUAUGAGCCAGUUGUCUUAUUUUCUCGGACUUACCUCGGAGUCCAGCUUUUGCAUCCAUAGAGUGUCCAGAGAAAAAACAUUGUCUGAACAAUUCUAAUCUUCGUAGAAAUUGAUGCUGAUUGUGAGCAAUAAACCUGCUCUUUGCAAACAGCUGCAGGGCAUGAAAAACAAAUAUGGAUGAGAGAAGAGAAAAGAACCAGUUAACACCACA